rnacentral:lncRNA from 1 species
GGAAAUUGGAGGUCGUGGGUUCCGCAGGUCCGUUUGACCAGGGUUAGAGUAGUUUGACCCUUGGUUGACCGUGAGUCUCCCGGAGUAAUCUCACCUUUCCAGGGGAGAUUAUCGGGUGCUAGAUGAUUGUGGAGGGUUACACAAUAUUAGAAUUAAUUUAUAUAAUUAUAAUUAUAUAUGGUUGUACAAGGGUACAACAGAGUCUAGAAUGUCAGUUUGGAGUGCUAUACGCGCUACUUUAGGUACCUCCCCGGAUGCUGGAUUUACUACAAGUACCACCAAGUGAAAGUGAGGUCCCACGUGGCGUAGGUUAUCCUGCGUGCGGACAGGCCCCAUACGUGGCGUUGGUUGUACCGGCGUAUGGGGAGAUUCGUGAUAUUAUGUUCAGGUCUCACGUGGCGUAGGUUAUCCGGCGUUGAGACAGGCCCCAUACGUGGCGUUGGUUGUACCGGCGUAUGGGGAGCUAUGUGAUAUUGUGUUGAGGUCGCACGUGGCAUAGGUUAUCCGGCGUGUCGACAGACCCCAUACGUGGGGUUGGUUGUACCGGCGUAUGGGGAGAUUUGUGAUAUGAAAUUGAGGUCCCGCGUGGCGUAGGUUAUCCGGCGUUGGGACAGGCCCCAUACGUGGUUUUGGUUGUACCGGCGUAUGGGGAGAUAUGUGAUUUGAUGUGCAGGUCUCGCAUGGCGUAGGUUAUUCGGCGUUGAGACAGGCCCCAUACGUGGCGUUGGUUAUACCGGCGUAUGGGGAGAUAUUAUGAUAGUAUGGAAUGGUCGCACGUGGCGUAGGUUAUCCGGCGUGUUGACAGGCCUCAUACGUGGCGUUGGUUGUACCGGCGUAUGGGGAGAUUAUUUGAAAUACAGAGAAAUGAAAUAAGGUAUUGCCCAAAUGUGGAAUUGGGUUUUAGGGAAGAACUACGUGUGGCUUGAUCCCUCAGGAGGGUACGUAGGCAGCCUAAGGUUAUUAGGUGCAGCCGCGGACUAAAUGUUAGUCAUAAUUUGUAUUUGAAUGGUUUGGUAGUUGGUUGAGAAUUAUUGGAAGGCCGAAGGCCAUUUAUGUGAAGUUGCAUGAAAUUAUAUUGUGCAUGCUGCCAGUUGUGAAUAUUAAAUGCGGUUUUAUGCAGGUUGAAAUUUUGGGAAAUGUCCAAAUUAUAGGGG